rnacentral:rRNA from 1 species
AUGAUGGAUCCGGAGAUGAUGCGGCUGGCGCAGGAGCAGAUGCGACGCAUGUCCCCCGACGACCUCGCCAGGAUGCAACAGCAGCUCAUGUCCAAUCCUGACUUGAUAAAGCUAGCAUCCGAGAGUAUGAAAAAUAUGAGAACUGAGGACUUCAAAAGAGCUGCUCAACAGCUCAAUCAAACAAGGCCAGAGGAAAUGCUUGAUAUGACUGAAAAAAUUGCCAACGCUAAGCCUGAAGAAUUUGCUGCCAUGAAGGCCCAAGCUGAUGCUCAAAUAUCAUAUGCGCUAUCUGGUGCCAAGAUGUUGAAGCAGCAGGGAAAUGAACUUCAUAGCCAUGGGAAGUAUACUGAUGCUGCUGCCAAGUACAAGCUUGCCAAGGAAAACAUGAAGAGCAUACCAUCGGCAGCUGGGCGAACUCUGCAGUUGCAGUGCACCCUUAAUUUAAUGUCGUGUUACCUGAAAUCAGGGAUGUUUGAUGAAUGUGUAAAUGAAGGUUCAGAGGUUCUAACUUAUGAUUCGAGCAAUGUGAAAGCAUACUACCGAAGAGGUCAAGCUUACAAAGAACUAGGAAACCUUCAGGCUGCUGUUGCUGACUUACGUAAAGCCCAUGAAAUUUCUCCGGAGGAUGAAACUAUUGCUGAGGUUCUGAGGGACACAGAUGCAAAACUUGCAACUGAAGGAGGAGGAACAAACCUGCCAAAAGGAGUUGUUAUUGAAGAAAUUGUGGAAGAAGAUAGUUCAGAGCUGUUAAGUACUCAAAGGAGUUCUUCUACUGAGUAUACUGUUUCACAACCACAUGAAGGAGCAGGAAACUCAAGACAAUCUGACUCUUCAGAAAGCCUAAUGAAUGAUCCUGCUACUAUCAGGUCAUUUCAAAAUUAUGUCUCUAAUAGUGAUGCUGAUGGGUUAUCAAAGUUGGGAAUGCAAGGAAUGUCGCCGGAGCUAGUUAAAACUGCCAGCGAAAUGAUCGGCACCAUGAAACCAGAAGAACUACAAAAGAUGUUUCAGGCUGCUUCUUCAUUAACCGGCACAAACCCCGUUGGUUCAAAUCUUGGAUCCAAUAUGCCCGAAAUGUCACCUGACAUGGUUAGUAUGGCAUCUGAAAUGAUUGGGAAGAUGUCCCCUUCUGAACUGCAAAAUAUGAUGGAUUUUGCUUCUAAAAUGGGUGGGCCUGGUAGUGCGCCUGUGAGACCAGGGACUGGGAGUAAUAUCCGACCUUCAUCAAGAGCAGAAACGAGUAGCAAUAACUUCCAACCUUCAUCUUCGCAAACUGUUGUGGAGAACCCUGAUGAAAUAGUAAUAAACAACCAAAGUAUGGACCAUUCAUCAUCCAGUUCCCCAGUUUCUACAGCUGAUAUGCAAGAAACCAUGAGAAAUUCUAUGAAAGACCCUGCUAUGCGGCAGAUGUUUGCAUCCAUGAUGAAGAACAUGAGUCCUGAUGUGAUGGCAAACAUGAGUGAGCAGUUUGGCAUGAAGCUGUCGAAGGAGGAUGCCGCCAAAGCUCAACAAGCUAUGUCUUCAUUAUCUCCAGAAGAUUUAGACAGAAUGAUGAAAUGGAUGGACAGAGCACAGCAGGGAGUAGAAGUAGCAAAGAAGACGAAGAACUGGCUCCUAGGCAGGAAAGGCCUGAUCCUUGCUAUUGUCAUGCUGAUCUUGGCCUUCAUCCUACAGCGGCUUGGAUUCAUCGGUAGGUAG